rnacentral:rRNA from 1 species
CCUACGGGAGGCUGCAGUCGAGAAUCAUUCACAAUGGGGGAAACCCUGAUGGUGCGACGCCGCGUGGGGGAAUGAAGGUCUUCGGAUUGUAAACCCCUGCCAUGUGGGAGCAAAUUAAAAAGAUAGUACCACACGAGGAAGAGACGGCUAACUCUGUGCCAGCAGCCGCGGUAAUACAGAGGUCUCAAGCGUUGUUCGGAAUCACUGGGCGUAAAGCGUGCGUAGGCUGUUUCGUAAGUCGUGUGUGAAAGGCGCGGGCUCAACCCGCGGACGGCACAUGAUACUGCGAGACUAGAGUAAUGGAGGGGGAACCGGAAUGCUCGGUGUAGCAGUGAAAUGCGUAGAUAUCGAGAGGAACACUCGUGGCGAAGGCGGGUUCCUGGACAUUAACUGACGCUGAGGCACGAAGGCCAGGGGAGCGAAAGGGAUUAGAUACCCUAGUAGUC